UGCUGUGGCAGAAAAUACAACUCUCCACAUGGAAACUAGGAAGAGGACUUUGCUGGGAACUGCUAUUGAAAAGAUCAACUCCUCUUUUCUCCAAAGCCCCUGUAUGUACCAACGUUGUGCCUAUGUGGCCCUUUGUUAAAGUACGCCCAGCUGACGAGAUCCGGUGUGAGUCAGAGGUGGUGAUGCCAGGCCUGCAUUCCUUCCCGGCUUCCUCUGUGCAGUGGUUGGAUACAGAUUGUUUGGA